rnacentral:ncRNA from 1 species
AAAAUAGCUAUGAAGGAUAGUAGUAAAUAAUAUCUUGUUUAAGGAUAUUUAAAACGAAGGGUUGUAGCUGUAAUUUGUUUUUGAUAUCCGUUACAGAGAGUCGGUGGAUGGUGGGAACCGAUAGCAAGAGUUAUUGAAUCCGAUCCCAAGCUGUAUAGGGGUAAAAACCUAUACCGGUAAUUAUCGUUACAUUGCUUAAAGGCUGUAUUUAUAUGCAGUAAAACAAGGUGGUACCACGUGGAUAUAUUUCCCCGUCCUUGAC